rnacentral:rRNA from 1 species
GACGAACCGAGCGAACGUUUAUUCGGAAUCACUGGGCUUAAAGGGUGCGUAGGCGGGCACGUCAGUCAGGGGUGAAAUCCCACGGCCCAACCGUGGAAGUGCCUCUGAUACUGCGUGCCUAGAGGGGGACAGGGGCAUGCGGAACUUCCGGUGGAGCGGUGAAAUGCGUAGAUAUCGGAAGGAACACCGGUGGCGAAAGCGGCGUGCUGGAUCCCUACUGACGCUGAGGCACGAAAGCCAGGGGAGCAACGGG